GGGCGGCUAGCUCAGUUGGGAGAGCGCGGCGUUCGCAAUGCCGAGGUCGUGGGUUCGAUCCCCAUGCCGUCCACCA
rnacentral:tRNA from 1 species